rnacentral:rRNA from 1 species
UACGGGAUAAUAUAUUUGAGAGGCAUCUCUUGAAUAUCAAAGGUGAGCCAGUACAGGAUGGACCCGCGUCUGAUUAGCUAGUUGGUAAGGUAACGGCUUACCAAGGCGACGAUCAGUAGCCGACCUGAGAGGGGGAUCGGCCACAUUGGAACUGAGACACGGUCCAAACUCCUACGGGAGGCAGCAGUGGGGAAUAUUGCACAAUGGGCGAAAGCCUGAUGCAGCAACGCCGCGUGAGUGAUGAAGGCCUUCGGGUCGGAAAACUCUGUCCUCAAGGAAGAUAAUGACGGUACUUGAGGAGGAAGCCCCGGCUAACUACGUGCCAGCAGCCGCGGUAAUACGUAGGGGGCUAGCGUUAUCCGGAUUUACUGGGCGUAAAGGGUGCG